rnacentral:rRNA from 2 species
GAUUGACCUCGGAUCAGGUAGGGAUACCCGCUGAACUUAAGCAUAUCAAUAAGC